AGUGACCAUGGGAAUGAAGUCCUGCGAGAAAUGUAAUGUUCCCAACAAUGCCUGCAGGGAUGGUUGGCUGAUCUCCUCCAGCAGACUUUAAACGAGGCUCCUCAGGGGAAGGGGAAGAUUAGGAUGGAGGGAACCACAGAACACUGAACCAAGCGCCACCUACAAGAACAGCCCAGCCAAGAUGGGCAAUGAGCACAAGAAAUCCCCAGGUAGAUCCCUACAUCCAUGGGUCUGGGGAAUAUGGAUCCAACCAAAUGUCUUCAUCCCAGUUACAAGGCUUCUUUAAACCAGCUGUGACAGCCGCCCAGCUUCUCCUGCAACUGCACCUGAAGGCUGUUCAUGGGUCCCAUGCUUGGAGAUUUUUAUCCCAGCAGGAAUCUCCUGUGGAGCUACAGCUGGGAGAUAAGGACCACCCGGCCUGGGACCUGUGACUGUAGGACUCAGACUGUAAUGACUCUGAAACUCAUGCUAAGCUUGGGCCUACUCACAAAAGUUAAAAUGCAGAAUAAUAAUGCUAACUUCAUAUUGCAAGAGGAUGCAAGUUCAUGGCUAGGCCAUCUAAGAAGGAAUAAUGAACUAUCUCUUCCAGCUUAUUUUGCUGUAUUCAGAAUGAUUUCAAGCAGACUCUUAGUCGUCUGGUGUGUAACCAUAUGAAAUAUCUAUCCUUUAUUAAUUAUUAUGGUAAAUAUUUCUUUUGUGAGUAACUCAUGUUUAUAUGCAGGAAGAGACAUUCUCCAUAUGUAAUAGAUGUCUCCUCCUGAUUUAGUAUGUUAUUCCUGGCUGUUAAUCAGUUUCUCGAUAUGUUUCAAACUGGAUAACCUCUUCUUACCGAAGAAAGUAACUCAUUCAAAUUAAAAAUUUUUGAUAGCCAGUAAUGAGCAGGUUUUUCCUGUCAAUUACUGCUUGGGAUUCUUUCUUGAUUUUCACAAUUAAAAUAAUGCUUUGAAGAUGCUAAACAAAAGGUAUAAAAGGCAGUAAAACAGCAAACAGCGCACAUGCUUCAAGAGUGAGAAAUCUCUCUGACACCAGUUGCUGAUGUGCCCUACUUACUUGAGAAGUUGAAGAGAAACAGACUGCCUCUUUGUUGCCUGUUUGGUGAGAAAUCAUCACCUUUAUAGCUAAUUACUGGACUUUGAUUUGGUUUGGGAUCACUUGACUUGAUUUUAAAUACUUGUAGUAAAUAAAGCCUUUCUGU